rnacentral:rRNA from 2 species
CUGGUGUCAGCCGCCGCGGUAAUACCAGCACCUCGAGUGGUCAGGACGUUUAUUGGGCCUAAAGCAUCCGUAGCCGGCUCUGCAAGUCUUCGGUUAAAUCCACCUGCUCAACAGAUGGGCUGCUGGAGAUACUACAGAGCUAGGGAGUGGGAGAGGCAGACGGUAUUCAGUGGGUAGGGGUAAAAUCCUCUGAUCCAUUGAGGACCACCAGUGGCGAAGGCGGUCUGCCAGAACACGUUCGACGGUGAGGGAUGAAAGCUGGGGGAGCAAACCGGAUUAGAUGCCCGGGUAGUCCCAGCUGUAAACGAUGCAAACUCGGUGAUGCAUUGGCUUAUGGCCAAUGCAGUGCCGCAGGGAAGCCGUUAAGUUUGCCGCCUGGGAAGUACGGACGCAAGUCUGAAACUUAAAG